GUAACGGUGUCUUUAGACACCACCUAUGUUCUUCAAAAUUUCUUGU
rfam:Picea glauca, whole genome shotgun sequence.